GAUGAACGCUGGCGGCGUGCUUAACACAUGCAAGUCGAACGAAGCAUUUAAGACAGAUUACUUCGGUUUGAGGUCUUUUAUGACUGAGUGGCGGACGGGUGAGUAACGCGUGGGUAACCUGCCUCAUACAGGGGGAUAGCAGCUGGAAACGGCUGGUAAUACCGCAUAAGCGCACAGUACCACAUGGUACAGUGUGAAAAACUCCGGGGGUAUGAGAUGGACCCGCGUCUGAUUCGCUUGUAGGCGGGGUAACGGCCCACCAAGGCGACGAUCAGUAGCCGACCUGUGAGGGUGACCGGCGACUUUGGGACUGAGACACGGCCCAGACUCCUCCGGGAGGCAGCAGUGGGGAAUAUUGCACAGUGGAGGAAGCUCUGAUGCAGCGACGACGCGUGAGUGAAGAAGUAGUUCGCUAUGUAAAGCUCUAUCAGCAGGGAAGAUAGUGACGGUACCUGACUAAGAAGCUCCGGCUAACUACGUG
rnacentral:rRNA from 1 species